rnacentral:rRNA from 1 species
UAGAGUUUGAUCCUGGCUCAGGAUGAACGCUAGCGACAGGCUUAACACAUGCAAGUCGAGGGGCAGCGGGGGUGAUGGCUUGCCAUCGCCUGCCGGCGACCGGCGCACGGGUGAGUAACACGUAUGCAACCUGCCCGCCACAGGGGGAUAAGCGGAAGAAAUUCCGUCUAAUACCGCGUGACGCGGCACCGGGGCAUCCCGGUGCCGCCAAAGGGAUUACCGGUGGCGGAUGGGCAUGCGGCGCAUUAGCUAGUCGGCGGGGUAACGGCCCACCGAGGCGACGAUGCGUAGGGGUUCUGAGAGGAAGGUCCCCCACACUGGUACUGAGACACGGACCAGACUCCUACGGGAGGCAGCAGUGAGGAAUAUUGGUCAAUGGGCGCGAGCCUGAACCAGCCAAGUCGCGUGAGGGAUGACGGUCCUACGGAUUGUAAACCUCUUUUGCCGGGGAGCAAGCGUGCGUUCGUGAACGCGCGUCGAGAGUACCCGGAGAAAAAGCAUCGGCUAACUCCGUGCCAGCAGCCGCGGUAAUACGGAGGAUGCGAGCGUUAUCCGGAUUUAUUGGGUUUAAAGGGUGCGUAGGCGGGAUGCCAAGUCAGCGGUAAAAAAGCGGUGCUCAACGCCGUCGAGCCGUUGAAACUGGCGUUCUUGAGUGGGCGAGAAGUAUGCGGAAUGCGUGGUGUAGCGGUGAAAUGCAUAGAUAUCACGCAGAACUCCGAUUGCGAAGGCAGCAUACCGGCGCCCUACUGACGCUGAGGCACGAAAGCGUGGGUAUCGAACAGGAUUAGAUACCCUGGUAGUCCACGCAGUAAACGAUGAAUGCUAACUGUCCGGUGCGAGUGAGCGCUGG